CCAGGUUGCCGUGGGAACUGAUAAAGCCCCAGUGCAGGGAGAAGCCUCUCAGAGGAACCCGUCACCUCUUAAAACCACAAUGAGGUGGAGAGCCAACUAGGGCACACUGAGCGUGGUCACGGGGCGACGAAACCACCACGCACCGUUCCCCAGAAGCACACACUGGGUGCACCGCCACACUGGCUGGAGACCCAGGCUGGAAAGUUCCAGCUGGAGCCAAAGGUCGCAGUCCAGGUGCUGCAUCUUCUUAAAGGAAACACACCCAAAGGCACUAGGACAGAGCCUUGGCUAGCGAUUUAGAUCCAGCCCUAUCUGACGCCGCCAGCAGCACCACGAAGACACUUCCAGGAGCACACCCAGCGGGUCGCCGAGGUGCCGCCCAAGAGGCUCGUUGGCGCCGGGGCCGCCUGACGUCAGUGGGACGGCCCUGGGCUUGGGCGCGCCACAGCCCCGCCCCUCGGGCGCCAGUCUCGGUCGCGGGCAUUGAGCGGCUGGAGUCUGGCGACUGCCCCACGCCCAGCCGUGGGUCGCUAGACGGCGGGCGCACCCGUCGUUCUGGACACGCUUAGUCGGCCCAGCGAGAGGGCGAAGGAGCCGCGGGCGCGUCCCCGCCAACCCUGCUCGCCCGCGCCGCGGCGGGCCACGUGACAGCCCGGGGCCCCGCGCCCCGCCGCGCCGCCUUACUUGGUGUACUCGCGCAGCCCCUUGGCGAACCACACGACGCUGCGGUACAGGGACAUGCCGGGCGCGCCCCACGCCUAGCCCCGCCGCGCUCCCGGCGCGGCCUCCGCCCUGGUCCCGCCCCCCGGGAGUCGCCCGCCCUGACAUCAUCCCGGUUAUGUAAGAGCCGCGGCUUCCGGGUCCUUGCUCCACAGGGAAGGCAAGGGGUCUCGGGGCCGGCCGGUCGACUCCGCCCCAGCCUCAGAGGGUGGAGUGAGGGCGGACCGGCCCUGGUGGGGGCCGCAGUCGAGGUCCGCAGCCUCCUCGGGGUUGAAAUCGGGCAUCAGCGCCGUUUAGAGAACACCGUCCUGCUGGGCAUGGCCGGGAUGCGAAGAUGGCCCUGCAACGCACCUCCUAGAAUUUGGUUACCUAGAAAACCAUGUGGAAUAAAACGACGAGGCUUAUGAUAUUUAAAAGACUUCUGCAUCGAAUUGGUGUUAUCAUAAGGGUUAUUUUAAUAACUGGCAUUCUCUAAGUUUCUACACCUGUUGGGGGAUGCAGUGCCGUGCCACAUUUCCCGUCUCCAGCAAGCGCAGUCAGAUUGGCGACAUCGCAGGCAAGAGGCAGGGCUGGGGCUCCCACCCGAGAAGUAAUUGUCUUCAAAGUCUGGACUUUUGCCACUGGUUCUGCGACUUCAUGCAAUGCCAGGGAGAGCCCCUUGAUUUCCCCCAAAUCCUCAUCAGCCUCCUUCCACCCAAGCCCAGAUGAACAGUACUCAUCUACUCACCUGAGGAUUAUGAGGAUUAUGAGUUUUAUGGAGCAAAAUUUGCCUAGAACAGGUUGUCAGCUUCUGUGGACACAGUCUACCCUCAGGAAUCCCAUUGGAAGAAAGAACAAAUGAAGC